AGACCCGAAACCCGGUGAUCUAGCCAUGGGCAGGUUGAAGGUUGGGUAACACUAACUGGAGGACCGAACCGACUAAUGUUGAAAAAUUAGCGGAUGACCUGUGGCUGGGGGUGAAAGGCCAAUCAAACCGGGAGAUAGCUGGUUCUCCCCGAAAGCUAUUUAGGUAGCGCCUCGUGAAUUCAUCUCCGGGGGUAGAGCACUGUUUCGGCUAGGGGGCCAUCCCGGCUUACCAACCCGAUGCAAACUGCGAAUACCGGAGAAUGUUAUCACGGGAGACACACGGCGGGUGCUAACGUCCGUCGUGAAGAGGGAAACAACCCAGACCGCCAGCUAAGGUCCCAAAGUCAUGGUUAAGUGGGAAACGAUGUGGGAAGGCCCAGACAGCCAGGAUGUUGGCUUAGAAGCAGCCAUCAUUUAAAGAAAGCGUAAUAGCUCACUGGUCGAGUCGGCCUGCGCGGAAGAUGUAACGGGGCUAAACCAUGCACCGAAGCUGCGGCAGCGACGCUUAUGCGUUGUUGGGUAGGGGAGCGUUCUGUAAGCCUGUGAAGGUGUGUCGUGAGGC
rnacentral:rRNA from 8 species